rnacentral:rRNA from 1 species
UACGUAGGGGGCUAGCGUUGUCCGGAAUCAUUGGGCGUAAAGCGCGUGUAGGCGGUUCGGUAAGUCCGCUGUGAAAGUCGGGGGCUCAACCCUCGAAUGCCGGUGGAUACUGUCGGGCUAGAGUGCGGAAGAGGCGAGUGGAAUUCCUGGUGUAGCGGUGAAAUGCGCAGAUAUCAGGAGGAACACCUAUUGCGAAGGCAGCUCGCUGGGACGUUACUGACGCUGAGACGCGAAAGCGUGGGGAGCAAACAGG